AUGCAAGUCGAGCGAACGGACGAGAAGCUUGCUUCUCUGAUGUUAGCGGCGGACGGGUGAGUAACACGUGGAUAACCUACCUAUAAGACUGGGAUAACUUCGGGAAACCGGAGCUAAUACCGGAUAAUAUUUUGAACCGCAUGGUUCAAAAGUGAAAGACGGUCUUGCUGUCACUUAUAGAUGGAUCCGCGCUGCAUUAGCUAGUUGGUAAGGUAACGGCUUACCAAGGCAACGAUGCAUAGCCGACCUGAGAGGGUGAUCGGCCACACUGGAACUGAGACACGGCCCAGACUCCUACGGGAGGCAGCAGUAGGGAAUCUUCCGCAAUGGGCGAAAGCCUGACGGAGCAACGCCGCGUGAGUGAUGAAGGUCUUCGGAUCGUAAAACUCUGUUUAUUAGGGAAGAACAUAUGUGUAAGUAACUGUGCACAUCUUGACGGUACCUAAUCAGAAAGCCACGGCUAACUACGUGCCAGCAGCCGCGGUAAUACGUAGGUGGCAAGCGUUAUCCGGAAUUAUUGGGCGUAAAGCGCGCGUAGGCGGUUUUUUAAGUCUGAUGUGAAAGCCCACGGCUCAACCGUGGAGGGUCAUUGGAAACUGGAAUACUUGAGUGCAGAAGAGGAAAGUGGAAUUCCAUGUGUAGCGGUGAAAUGCGCAGAGAUAUGGAGGUACACCAGUGGCGAAGGCGACUUUCUGGUCUGUAAC
rnacentral:rRNA from 1 species